ensembl:miRNA tni-mir-103 tni-mir-103
UUGCUCUACGCUUUUAGCCUCUUUACAGUGCUGCCUUGCUCUACUCAUGUUCAAGCAGCAUUGUACAGGGCUAUGACAGCGUAGAG